UGUGUGAGCGAGCCUGCUCGCGAUAGCGUCGGCGCAUCCAGUGCAUUUGCUGCGCCUGGAACACCGUCAUCGCGAGCAAGCUCGCUCCCACA
rnacentral:misc_RNA from 1 species